AUAAAAAAAUGUUUCACUCUCAAAGUCUCAAGUCGACAUCCAGUAUUACUCUCACUCUCACUCUCACUCUCAACCCACUGCCGACUCCGACUACCGCUGAGUAUCUCUCCAAUCCGAGUUACAAUAGCCCGAUUUAUGGAAGUCACUACCAAAGCAUAAAGCCUGACUAUCGUUGUGCUGAUUAGUUCAGCUUUCGUUGUGUUGAUUUACAAUAGCCGGUGUUGAUUAGUAAUCUUGUGCCCUGAAUUCUUGCAGCUAUCUUGUACAGUAGCCUGUGUUGAUUUACAAUAGCUGCUUCUCUAUCAAGUGAUGGUGGAAUUGGAGGUGGAAGAUUGUAUGUACCUAUUCUUACUAUAAUUGCUAGUGUAGACCUCAAAACAGCUUCAAGUUUUUCUGCAUUUAUGGUCACGGGUGGCUCUAUUGGAAAUGUUGUUUGUAACAUAUGCGUUACAAGUCCCAAAAAUGGUGGCAAGAUUUUGAUUGAUUUUGAUAUAGCAUUUCUCUCGAAGCCACGCAUGUUGUUGGGUAGAUGAAUAACACGUGCUUAUUUUCUACUUGUAAUACUUCCAUCCAAAUAUGUAAGUGUGUGUUUAUAAGCCAAGCUCCAAUGCUUAAAUUGUACUUUGAGCAGUUGGUGCUUAAACACUACUUAAAUUCAGGGCAUCAUUCCUAUGGAGGCAUGUGGAGUGGGACACUGGAUCAUUUCAUCAGUUCAGUUUUCUUUGGCUAUCAUCUUUAUAUCAUGGAUCUUGUAUAAUAGAGAAAGUCAGCAGAACAUGCCUUCCAAGAAACAGGGUACAUCGUCACGGCUAAACUAUGACCCAUGCUUGGCGGAUGCAGUUACUGAAAUAAAUAUAUUGGUUGUGGAAGGAUACUUAUUUGAACUUCCGAUACAGUCUGAACAAUUUCGAAAGUCUGCGAGAAAUCCCACAAGAAUGGAGCAUUAGAUCCAUCACAACAUCAGAUGUGUCCUGCAUUGAAAUAUAUUCUGAUGAGUACUAGUAAAACCUUAUUUUCUAUCUUGCUUCUGCAUAAUAAAGCUUAAAAUGCCCCCACCCAAUCUUUCCAAAGGGGGAAAAACUCCACUUUAAUAAAGAAAAAGUAGAACAACAACAUAACCAUUGUAAUAUCACAAGUGGGGUACGAGGAGGAUGGCUUGUAUGCAGCCUCAUCCCUACCUUGCAAAGGUAGAUAGGCUAUUUCCAAUAGACCCUCAACAAUAAAGCAAAAGUAGAAAGAAAGGGAGAAGCUUGGAUAACUGUGUUAACUCACUCAUCGGAGUUUGGUUACUCGAUCUGUAAUGAGAAGCACAUGCAGAUUCAUGCUAGAUCUUGAACAGGACUAUAUUGAUUAGGUUAAAGUCUACCAGUGGCUAGCAGUCCAUUAAAAUCGUGAGGAAAACUUGAGUCAGGAAACCAAAAUUUGUUGUUGUUUAGACUUGUAUAUAGUGAACUCGAUUUGUUUCUUUUACUAUGACAGAGUUAUUUAUCCUUAUUAUUUUCCACAUCUUUUGUUCCAGGGAAAUCAUGGCAAAAUAUGCAGAUAUAGCAUUUGCGAAUAGCGAAAAAGCAAGAACAUUCUAUCAUUUUUCAUCAAAAGAAUACCCCCUUUCUACUACAAGGUGUCCAAAAUGAAGGAGAUAAAGAAAGAAGUGAUGAAGAAAUUGACCUUACUUGAAGGAGAUAAUUGUCCAAAAUGAAGGAGAUGAAGAAAGAAGUGAUGCUUUAAUUAAUAUCGAUCUUUUUGAUUUUGAAUUUCUUGAAAUUUAUCGCCACUAGAAUUUGAUACUAUGUGGGAAAACUAAUGAUCAUUUGACUUAAACAUUUUGCUUUUGGGAUUAGAUUACUAGUUUGUUAAUUUGAAUUAUAUUAAUGAAAGAUUUUGUUGUGAUGUUUGUAUA